rnacentral:rRNA from 1 species
GACGAACGCUGGCGGCGUGCUUAACACAAGCAAGUCGAACGGAAAGGCCCUGCUUUUGUGGGGUGCUCGAGUGGCGAACGGGUGAGUAACACGUGAGUAACCUGCCCUUGACUUUGGGAUAACUUCAGGAAACUGGGGCUAAUACCGGAUAGGAGCUCCUGCUGCAUGGUGGGGGUUGGAAAGUUUCGGCGGUUGGGGAUGGACUCGCGGCUUAUCAGCUUGUUGGUGGGGUAGUGGCUUACCAAGGCUUUGACGGGUAGCCGGCCUGAGAGGGUGACCGGCCACAUUGGGACUGAGAUACGGCCCAGACUCCUACGGGAGGCAGCAGUGGGGAAUAUUGCACAAUGGGCGGAAGCCUGAUGCAGCAACGCCGCGUGCGGGAUGACGGCCUUCGGGUUGUAAACCGCUUUCGCCUGUGACGAAGCGUGAGUGACGGUAAUGGGUAAAGAAGCACCGGCUAACUACG